rnacentral:rRNA from 1 species
UACGAAGGGGGCUAGCGUUGUUCGGAAUCACUGGGCGUAAAGGGCGCGUAGGCGGCCGAUUAAGUCGGGGGUGAAAGCCUGUGGCUCAACCACAGAAUUGCCUUCGAUACUGAUUGGCUUGAGACCGGAAGAGGUCAGUGGAACUGCGAGUGUAGAGGUGAAAUUCGUAGAUAUUCGCAAGAACACCAGUGGCGAAGGCGGCUGACUGGUCCGGUUCUGACACUGAGGAACGAAAGCCAGGGGAGCAAACGGG